rnacentral:rRNA from 1 species
GUCAGCGGCGGACGGGUGAGUAACACGUGGGCAACCUGCCUGUAAGACUGGGAUAACUCCGGGAAACCGGGGCUAAUACCGGAUAAUUCUUUCCCUCACAUGAGGGAAAGCUGAAAGAUGGUUUCGGCUAUCACUUACAGAUGGGCCCGCGGCGCAUUAGCUAGUUGGUGAGGUAACGGCUCACCAAGGCAACGAUGCGUAGCCGACCUGAGAGGGUGAUCGGCCACACUGGGACUGAGACACGGCCCAGACUCCUACGGGAGGCAGCAGUAGGGAAUCUUCCGCAAUGGACGAAAGUCUGACGGAGCAACGCCGCGUGAGUGAUGAAGGUUUUCGGAUCGUAAAACUCUGUUGUUAGGGAAGAACAAGUACCGGAGUAACUGCCGGUACCUUGACGGUACCUAACCAGAAAGCCACGGCUAACUACGUGCCAGCAGCCGCGGUAAUACGUAGGUGGCAAGCGUUGUCCGGAAUUAUUGGGCGUAAAGCGCGCGCAGGCGGUUCCUUAAGUCUGAUGUGAAAGCCCCCGGCUCA